ensembl:lncRNA
UUCUAUCUAACUGAGAGUCUCCUCAUUGAAAACAUCAGAAGUUCUUCAAAGGGAAACCAGGGCGGGCCUGGUGAGUCUGGAGAAUCUGCGUUAUCGGGCGAAACAGUGAGGUUUCUAGACGGUCUAAAACUCUGCCAACUGGUGAACUGGGCCCACUAGGACCAUGCAGGGCUCCAGGCUCCUGACUGGUGGCAAAGGCGAGAAAAGGGGAUCCAGGGAAACCAGGGAAACCGGGCCCGCCGGGACCAAAGGUGAGGAUCACAACCCGACUUCAACCCACUGUGCCAGGGGACGAGACGAGGCAAACGGCCCCCACACCACCACCUCCGCAGCCCUGUCUGAAGCACCACAAUGGUGCUCUGUAUACCAAUCAUGUUCAGGCUGUUCUCGACCAGUGUUUAAGAGGGUUUAAACAGAUGGCAAGGUUCAUUAGAAACAACUCAGUGUAGCAGUUGCACACUUCAGGCCCCUUUAGACCAGAUGGGGAGGGAAUGUAGCAUGUCAAAAACUUCCAGAAAUGGAGAGAGAUAAUAGUCUACACUUUAAAACACUAUGGAGGCCAAGAGAGUUAUUUGAUUUUCAGCAAUG